rnacentral:rRNA from 1 species
AGAGUUUGAUCCUGGCUCAGGAUGAACGCUAGCGGCAGGCUUAAUACAUGCAAGUCGAGGGGUAGCAAGAUUGUAGCAAUACAAUUGUUGACGACCGGCAAACGGGUGCGGAACACGUACACAACCUUCCUACAAGUGGGGAAUAGCCCAGAGAAAUUUGGAUUAAUACCCCGUAACAUAGCGAUGUGGCAUCACAUUGCUAUUAUAGCUUCGGCGCUUGUUGAUGGGUGUGCGGCUGAUUAGAUAGUUGGCGGGGUAACGGCCCACCAAGUCUACGAUCAGUAGCUGAUGUGAGAGCAUGAUCAGCCACACGGGCACUGAGACACGGGCCCGACUCCUACGGGAGGCAGCAGUAAGGAAUAUUGGACAAUGGACGCAAGUCUGAUCCAGCCAUGCCGCGUGAAGGAUUAAGGUCCUCUGGAUUGUAAACUUCUUUUAUAAGGGACGAAAAAAGGUCUUUCUAGAUCGUCUGACGGUACCUUAUGAAUAAGCACCGGCUAACUCCGUGCCAGCAGCCGCGGUAAUACGGAGGGUGCAAGCGUUAUCCGGAUUCACUGGGUUUAAAGGGUGCGUAGGCGGGCAGGUAAGUCAGUGGUGAAAUCCUAGAGCUUAACUCUAGAACUGCCAUUGAUACUAUCUGUCUUGAAUAUUGUGGAGGUAAGCGGAAUAUGUCAUGUAGCGGUGAAAUGCGUAGA